rnacentral:rRNA from 1 species
GAUGAACGCUAGCGGCAGGCUUAAUACAUGCAAGUCGAGGGGCAGCAGGACUGUAGCAAUACAGUUGCUGGCGACCGGCAAACGGGUGCGGAACACGUACGCAACUUACCCUUGUCUGGGGCAUAGCCCACCGAAAGGUGGAUUAACUCCCCCUAAGAUAGUGGUGUGGCAUCACACAGCUAUUAAAACUGAGGUGGACAAGGAUGGGCGUGCGGCUGAUUAGGUAGUUGGUGCGGGUAACGGCCCACCAAGCCUGAGAUCAGUAACUGGUGUGAGGGCACGGCCGGUCCCACGGGCACUGAGACACGGGCCCGACUCCUACGGGAGGCAGCAGUAAGGAAUAUUGGUCAAUGGAGGCAACUCUGAACCAGCCAUGCCGCGUGGAGGAUGAAGGCCCUCUGGGUUGUAAACUUCUUUUACAGGGGACGAAACACUUCUAUUCUUAGGAGCUUGACGGUACCCUGGGAAUAAGCACCGGCUAACUCCGUGCCAGCCGCCGCAGUAAAAC